CAUUCUCAUUCUUACGGCUACAUCUUAAAAUAUUUAUCAAUAAUUGAUUAUCAAUUCAAGAUCAUACCGAAAAUGUAUAGCGAGAAUAUUUCAAACUAUUAAUAAAUAAUACAAUAUAUUAGCAACAUUAGAUGAACUGUUUAACAUUUAGAAUCUUAGAGAUUUUAAUGAUGAACACGCCACACACACAUGCAUCAGGAUUCAGGAUGAUGCAUAGCUGAUCGAUAGCUUGGUCUGAGUUGAGUCAUUUUGUGUAACAGUUUCGCUUUACAUGUAAUAAGCAAAUCAAAUUGUGGACAAGAUGCCUCUUGUCAGAUUCUGGGUUAUGAUUACAGACAGGUUUUGGUUGGUCAAAUAUGUUGAAUAAACACUAGAUUGCUAGCUGUUGCGAUACUUAUCAUGCAUGGAAGGCGAGCUUUUUGUUAAAGGUGGGUUACAGUCCCUUUUGCGCAUGAACGAUAAGAAUGUUUUGAGUAGCCUACUCAUGUUACAAUCAUAACACGUUCCCAGUCCAAAUAGCGUAAUAACAACGCACGGCCGCCUUUAUAAUUUCUCUGACCUACUGGAAGGAGUGAUGGCAAAUUCUGAUGCUCAAAGUUCGGAUAUAAAUCCUUCCGAAAUAAGCCGUCACACUAGGUCUGAGGCAAGAAGAAAAUACGACAAAAAAGGAGACGCAUCAAAAGUCUGUUUAUUCGAUACUUUCGAGAGGUGGAGAGCGUUUAAAGAAGAACAUAAGCUCAAAACAGAUCAGCCUGUUGCAGAGUUUCUGCUUGAUCAUUACGCCGUCAGAAACAUAUUAUGGUAAGCGUAAUGAUGUAUAACUAAACCUUUAUGAUUAUUUUCUUUUUCCUUAUGAUUUUACAUGUUCUUUAAUGCUUUGUUAGUAAUGUAGAAACGCAAACGGAGAACGCCACGACAAUGUUGCCUUUGUCAACUGCGGGAAUCACUCAGCAUGUGUUCGCCAGUAAAGUCAUCAGCACCCUAUAUGUCACUGAGAUCAAGUCGAUGAAGAUUGACUCAGUCUGACCCUGAAUCUCAAGAAGAUACUCUUAUAUUGUCUUUUAGAUCAAAGGAAGACCCAGACAUGACUUUAACCGCUAGCGAAGGCAAAGCAAAUAUUUAGUCCUUCAUUGUCUUUGAGGCAGCAAAAUCAAAAUGCAAUGAAGAUCUCACACUUUGGGCACCAUCCAUUCUCAUCACUCUCUGUC